rnacentral:rRNA from 1 species
UUUUUAAAAACUAGCUCNACCAACCCCCACUAAACCCGCCCAAAAUAAAACAAACCAUUUGACAAGACUAGUAAAGGAGAUUAAACAU